AUUAGUGUACAAAUUCAUAUAACAAGAAUCAUAAAGAGAGAAUUUUGAAAUGAAAUUAAAAUUUGGUUUUAGCCAUUUUCAAGCAUAGUAUUGUGAUUUGAGUUUUGACAAACCAAUAACCAUGGUUAAGUCCGUUAGCUAAGAAGGUACAAAUUUCCCAACGCCAUUAAUAGUUGUUGAUGUAGCAUAUUUUUCUACCCACCACAUCACAACCACAUCAUCAUAUAUUAACAGCAUUGGAGUAUUUGUAACUUUUGUACCAACAUACUUAACCAUAUGUUACUGGUUUGUCAAAACACAAACCACAAGACUCUACUUGAAAAUGGCGCAAAACCAAAGUUCUUUUUUAUACUUUCCCCUUAUAUUUUUACACAAAGAUUGAACUAUAAGAACAUCAAGAAGGAAUUAGAACCUGGAGUACAUCAAACUUUAUUUCCAAUGUGAGUAAUAGAUAAAGGA
rnacentral:misc_RNA from 1 species